UACAGAGGUGGCGAACGUUGUUCGGAUUUACUGGGCGUAAAGGGUCCGCAGGCGGUUUGGUGUGUCGGAUGUGAAAGCUCACAGCUCAACUGUGGAAUUGCAUUCGAAACUGCCAAACUAGAGUACUGGAGGGGAGAAGGGAACACUUGGUGUAGCGGUGAAAUGCGUAGAUAUCAAGUGGAACACCGGUGGCGAAGGCGCUUCUCUGGACAGAUACUGACGCUCAUGGACGAAAGUUAGGGUAGCGAAAGGG
rnacentral:rRNA from 1 species